GACGAACGCUGGCGGCGUGCUUAACACAUGCAAGUCGAACGGAAAGGUCUGCUUUACUUUGUGGAUUGCGGGUACUCGAGUGGCGAAUGGGUGAGUAAUACGUGAGUGAUCCGCCCCCAACUUGGGUAUAAGCCUGGGAAACUGGGUCUAAUUCCUGAUAGGACUGCAGGGUGGUGCCCGUGGUGGAAAACGAUUUUCUAGUGGUUGGGGAUGAGCUCGCGGGCUAUCAGCUUGUUGGUGGGGUAAUGGGCUACCAAGUCGGCGACGGGUAGCCGGCCUGGAAGAGUGAACGGCCACAUUGGAACUGGAAUACGGCCCAGGCUCCUGCGGGAGGCAGCAGUGUGGAAUGUUGCACAGUAGGCGGGAGCCUGAUGCAGCGACGCCGCGUGGGAGAUAGCGACGUUCGGGUUGUGAACUCCUUUCGACCGCGGUGAAGCCACCUUAUUGGAAAGGUGAAGGCGGUAGUGGGAAGAAGAGAACCGGCUAACUACCUG
rnacentral:rRNA from 1 species